GAUCCCACAGGGUAAGCAAAAUGCCAGAAGGUAUCUGCAGCCCAGUAGUUACCUCAGAGAUGGAGCAGGAGUGUACUGGGGGCAUCUAGACAAGACUCAAGCUGAACAAGAGAAGAGGAGAGGAGCAGUCUAGAAUGAGGAACCAGGGUUCCAUGAUAUUGUCACUGAUGGAAUGGUGUUUCUCUUUUGUGGUGGGGCAAAGGCUGGCCUUGAACUCUCAAUCUCCCAGAGAGUCAUUAACGUACUCAAAAUGGAGGAACGUAUGGAAUGAACAUCUAAGGCCCACAGGUAGAAUGAUAUGCAAAGGUUUGUUGACUCCGGUCCAGUUCACCUCCAGAAGCUCCAGAAUCAACCCAGGAGGAAGAACCGUGUGGACGCAGAA